GCCUUCGUGGUAUAACGGUAGCACACUCGGUCCGUAUUCGAGAGGUCCAGGUUCGAGUCCCGGCGAGGGCA
rnacentral:tRNA from 1 species